GACGAACGCUGGCGGCGUGCCUAAUACAUGCAAGUAGAACGCACAGUUUAUACCGUAGCUUGCUACACCAUAGACUGUGAGUUGCGAACGGGUGAGUAACGCGUAGGUAACCUGCCUGGUAGCGGGGGAUAACUAUUGGAAACGAUAGCUAAUACCGCAUAAUAUUAAUUAUUGCAUGAUAAUUAAUUGAAAGGUGCAAUUGCACCACUACCAGAUGGACCUGCGUUGUAUUAGCUAGUAGGUGAGGUAACGGCUCACCUAGGCGACGAUACAUAGCCGACCUGAGAGGGUGAUCGGCCACACUGGGACUGAGACACGGCCCAGACUCCUACGGGAGGCAGCAGUAGGGAAUCUUCGGCAAUGGACGAAAGUCUGACCGAGCAACGCCGCGUGAGUUAAGAAGGUUUUCGGAUCGUAAAGCUCUGUUGUAAGAGAAGAACGGGUGUGAGAGUGGAAAGUUCACACUGUGACGGUAUCUUACCAGAAAGGGACGGCUAACUACGUG
rnacentral:rRNA from 1 species